UACGGAGGGGGCCAGCGUUGUUCGGAAUUAUUGGGCGUAAAGGGCGCGUAGGCGGCCGGAUAAGUCUGAUGUGAAAUCCACGGCUCAACCGUGGAACUGCAUUUGAAACUGUCGGCUCGAGUCCGGGAGAGGGUAGUGGGAAUUCCCAGUGUAGCGGUGAAAUGCGUAGAUAAUUGGGAGGAACACCGGUGGCGAAGGCGGCUGACCUGGAC
rnacentral:rRNA from 1 species